rnacentral:rRNA from 1 species
AACGAACGCUGGCGGCAUGCCUAACACAUGCAAGUCGAACGAGACCUUCGGGUCUAGUGGCGCACGGGUGCGUAACGCGUGGGAAUCUGCCCUUUGCUUCGGAAUAACAGUUAGAAAUGACUGCUAAUACCGGAUGAUGUCUUCGGACCAAAGAUUUAUCCGGCAAAAGGAUGAGCCCGCGUAGGAUUAGGUAGUUGGGUGGGUAAAGGCCUACCAAGCCGACGAUCCUUAGCUGGUCUGAGAGGAUGAUCAGCCACACUGGGACUGAGACACGGCCCAGACUCCUACGGGAGGCAGCAGUGGGAAUAUUGGACAAUGGGCGCAAGCCUGAUCCAGCAAUGCCGCGUGAGUGAUGAUGGCCUUCGGUCGUAAAGCUCUUUACCUAGGA